GCCACUUGACUUUGGGAUAACUUCAGGAAACUGGGGCUAAUACCGGAUAGGAGCUCCUGCUGCAUGGUGGGGGUUGGAAAGUUUCGGCGGUUGGGGAUGGACUCGCGGCUUAUCAGCUUGUUGGUGGGGUAGUGGCUUACCAAGGCUUUGACGGGUAGCCGGCCUGAGAGGGUGACCGGCCACAUUGGGACUGAGAUACGGCCCAG
rnacentral:rRNA from 1 species